UGCUGAAGUCAGUGGGUGAGAACUCUUCUGUUGCAUUGUUUGCAAUAUAUUCAUACACUAAUUCACAUUACUUUGUUUUGCAACUUAAACCCCUUUAAUCAUCUGUUCACUGAGUAAAGACUGCAUGUAGUAGGGCACAGUGGGGCUACAAGGUAAAAGGGCAUAGUGAUUUUAUUUCCACCACUAAACAAAUACGGCAGCAACAAAAACCACAGCACUUUCCUAACUUUUUCCUAUAUAUAUGCUGCAUUUAUAUUUACAUGAUUUUUAAUGAAAACUAUAACCACCCCCUCCCCCCAAACCAAGCCCUAAUCCUAACCCUAACCAUGUAGUAAGUACAUGUAGUUAAUUAAUAUGAAUCAGUAUACUAAUAUGCAUAAUUACACUGGAACAAAGACACCUAAAGUGUAACCAAAAGGAAUGCUUGAUCAAAACUCAGGUCACUUACUGGUAAACAGUCUCAAACUCUCUCUGUCAACUAUUGUUCAAAUAUUCAAGAAAAAAUAAAUAAUCUUUCAAUUGCCAUAUAUUUAGGGACCAAUAAUAAUAAUAAUAAUAAUAAUAAUAAUAAUAAUAAUAAAAAUCUCAUAGGGGCUUUUAGCCACACUGGUAUAUUUGCAUAAACAACAAAAAACAAACCACAGGACUUUAAACACUCAUACCAUGGUAGUCUGAAAUUAUUUAAAAGGAUGUGGACUAAAAAGACCUCUGACUUAUUAUCAAUUUACAUAGUUCAGAACAUUUUACAUGUGUACACCAUUACUAUUAUUAUGUCACCUUUUAUGUUUCUGCUUCUCUUCCUGUAGGUGAAAGCCUCUCUUGUAAUGAAUGUGAUCAGUGCCAUAACUGCAGCACUCACCAUUCUUCUGAUGGGCAUAGAGUUACGACUCAUUUCAGAGCCUUUUCACAGAUGCAGUUAUGAAUAUUCUUCUGAGUACACAUGUUUAAAAUUUAAGAAACUUGAUUUGGGGAUCCUUGGAAUAUUGCUGGUGUUCUCCAUCCUUCAGUUCAUCAUUUCCAUCUUUAUCUCAGGAUUUGCCUGCAAAGCCACCAGCAACUUAGACUCUACAGUGGUCAAUGUGGCACUAAACCAGGGAUACUGAGUUACAGUGAGGAGAUCCUACUGUUCAA